UACGUAGGGUGCAAGCGUUAAUCGGAAUUACUGGGCGUAAAGCGUGCGCAGGCGGCUUUGCAAGACAGAUGUGAAAUCCCCGGGCUCAACCUGGGAACUGCAUUUGUGACUGCAAGGCUAGAGUACGGCAGAGGGGGAUGGAAUUCCGCGUGUAGCAGUGAAAUGCGUAGAUAUCGGAAGGAACGCCGGUGGCGAAAGCGAUCUGCUGGAUCUCUUCUGACGCUGAUGCGCGAAAGCCAGGGGAGCAAACGGG
rnacentral:rRNA from 1 species